rnacentral:rRNA from 1 species
GAUGAACGCCAGCUACAGGCUUAACACAUGCAAGUCGAGGGGUAACGAGAGGAAAGCUUGCUUUCCUUGUCGACGACCGGCGCACGGGUGAGUAACGCGUAUCCAACCUGCCCCCAACUAGGGAAUAACCUUGCGAAAGUAAGACUAAUACCCUAUAAUUUCCUCAGAUGUCAUCUGACGAGGAAUAAAGAUUUAUCGGUUGUGGAUGGGGAUGCGUCUGAUUAGCUUGUUGGCGGGGUAACGGCCCACCAAGGCAACGAUCAGUAGGGGUUCUGAGAGGAAGGUCCCCCACAUUGGAACUGAGACACGGUCCAAACUCCUACGGGAGGCAGCAGUGAGGAAUAUUGGUCAAUGGGCGGAAGCCUGAACCAGCCAAGUAGCGUGCAGGAUGACGGCCCUAUGGGUUGUAAGCUGCUUUUAUACAGGAAUAAAGUUAGCCACGUGUGGUUAUUUGUAGGUACUGUAUGAAUAAGGACCGGCUAAUUCCGUGCCAGCCGCCGCAGUAA